GACGAACGCUGGCGGCGUGCCUAAUACAUGCAAGUAGAACGCUGAAGGAGGAGCUUGCUUCUCCGGAUGAGUUGCGAACGGGUGAGUAACGCGUAGGUAACCUGCCUGGUAGCGGGGGAUAACUAUUGGAAACGAUAGCUAAUACCGCAUAACAGUAGAUGUUGCAUGACAUUUGCUUAAAAGGUGCAAUUGCAUCACUACCAGAUGGACCUGCGUUGUAUUAGCUAGUUGGUGAGGUAACGGCUCACCAAGGCGACGAUACAUAGCCGACCUGAGAGGGGGGUCGGCCACACUGGGACGGAGACACGGCCCAGACUCCUAGGGGAGGCAGCGGUAGGGAAUCGUCGGCAAUGGGCGGAAGUCUGACCGAGAAAGGCCGCGUGAGUGAAGAAGGAUGUCGGAUCGUAAAGCUCUGUUGUAAGGGAAGAACGAGUGUGAGAGUGGAAAGUUCACACUGUGACGGUAUCUGACCAGAAAGGGACGGCUAACUACGUG
rnacentral:rRNA from 1 species